GUGUUGGAUGUCUUGAAGAACAAAUCCAAAGGCUAUUGUCUCUUGGUAGAGUGAGAUCAGAAGGAGAUUCGAAGGUGUUGUGGGGUUAGGAAGAGUCGUCGGCUAGAGGCGAUUUGGCUGGCGUUGGAUCAGGCAAAAAUGGUUACCUGAUUAUCCCUCAUGUGCUGGAGCGCGUGAAGACAACAAAGGUGCGUCGACAGCGCGUGGCGGCUUCCGGCAAGGAUUACAGAGUCGGUUUUCUAGGGACUAAGUCGCCUGCGAUCAACUAAUCCUUUUAGGUGGGUGGUGUAGUCCACCUCCCUCUGGUAGGUGACCCACUAGAACGACAAUGGCGUUUGUUCUUCAAGCACAGAGAAGAGACGAAGUAGAAUUUCGAUCAGACCCUUUUUUUUUUAGGCUCUAAUACCAUUUGAGAAUAAUAGAAAGAGAGAGAUUUGCAAGAAG
rnacentral:misc_RNA from 1 species